rnacentral:lncRNA from 1 species
GGAUCGUAUAGGUUACAAGUUUUAGAUAUUAGCUUGACUUUAAGUGGUUCGCUCAUGUUUGCUUGUUUUUUUUUUUUAAGCUCAUUUUUUUUUUAAUUUUAUCAUUUAAUAUUUAUUCAAUUGGAGACUAAGCUCUGUCAUUUUUAUUUAUUAGCUUUCUAUAGAGUUUUUCACUUAUUUUUUAAAUGACUCAGCUUAUCUCAAGUCUUUUUAUUUUUUG